GGGUUGUGAGGUUAAGCGACUAAGCGUACACGGUGGAUGCCCUGGCAGUCAGAGGCGAUGAAGGGCGUGCUAAUCUGCGAUAAGCGCCGGUAAGGUGAUAUGAACCGUUAUAACCGGCGAUACCCGAAUGGGGAAACCCAGUGUGAUUCGUCACACUAUCAUUAACUGAAUCCAUAGGUUAAUGAGGCGAACCGGGGGAACUGAAACAUCUAAGUACCCCGAGGAAAAGAAAUCAACCGAGAUUCCCCCAGUAGCGGCGAGCGAACGGGGAGGAGCCCAGAGCCUGAAUCAGCAUGUGUGUUAGUGGAAGCGUCUGGAAAGGCGCGCGAUACAGGGUGACAGCCCCGUACACAAAAGCGCAUGUGCUGUGAGCUCGAUGAGUAGGGCGGGACACGUGGUAUCCUGUCUGAAUAUGGGGGGACCAUCCUCCAAGGCUAAAUACUCCUGACUGACCGAUAGUGAACCAGUACCGUGAGGGAAAGGCGAAAAGAACCCCGGCGAGGGGAGUGAAAAAGAACCUGAAACCGUGUACGUACAAGCAGUGGGAGCACAGGUUUACCUGUGUGACUGCGUACCUUUUGUAUAAUGGGUCAGCGACUUAUAUUCUGUAGCAAGGUUAACCGAAUAGGGGAGCCGGAGGGAAACCGAGUCUUAAUUGGGCGUUAAGUUGCAGGGUAUAGACCCGAAACCCGGUGAUCUAGCCAUGGGCAGGUUGAAGGUUGGGUAACACUAACUGGAGGACCGAACCGACUAAUGUUGAAAAAUUAGCGGAUGACCUGUGGCUGGGGGUGAAAGGCCAAUCAAACCGGGAGAUAGCUGGUUCUCCCCGAAAGCUAUUUAGGUAGCGCCUCGUGAAUUCAUCUCCGGGGGUAGAGCACUGUUUCGGCUAGGGGGCCAUCCCGGCUUACCAACCCGAUGCAAACUGCGAAUACCGGAGAAUGUUAUCACGGGAGACACACGGCGGGUGCUAACGUCCGUCGUGAAGAGGGAAACAACCCAGACCGCCAGCUAAGGUCCCAAAGUCAUGGUUAAGUGGGAAACGAUGUGGGAAGGCCCAGACAGCCAGGAUGUUGGCUUAGAAGCAGCCAUCAUUUAAAGAAAGCGUAAUAGCUCACUGGUCGAGUCGGCCUGCGCGGAAGAUGUAACGGGGCUAAACCAUGCACCGAAGCUGCGGCAGCGACGCUUAUGCGUUGUUGGGUAGGGGAGCGUUCUGUAAGCCUGUGAAGGUGGCCUGUGAGGGUUGCUGGAGGUAUCAGAAGUGCGAAUGCUGACAUAAGUAACGAUAAAGCGGGUGAAAAGCCCGCUCGCCGGAAGACCAAGGGUUCCUGUCCAACGUUAAUCGGGGCAGGGUGAGUCGACCCCUAAGGCGAGGCCGAAAGGCGUAGUCGAUGGGAAACGGGUUAAUAUUCCCGUACUUGGUGUUACUGCGAAGGGGGGACGGAGAAGGCUAUGUUGGCCGGGCGACGGUUGUCCCGGUUUAAGCGUGUAGGUGUGUGUUCCAGGUAAAUCCGGUUCACUUUAACACUGAGGCGUGAUGACGAGGCACUACGGUGCUGAAGUAACAAAUGCCCUGCUUCCAGGAAAAGCCUCUAAGCAUCAGGUAACAUCAAAUCGUACCCCAAACCGACACAGGUGGUCAGGUAGAGAAUACCAAGGCGCUUGAGAGAACUCGGGUGAAGGAACUAGGCAAAAUGGUGCCGUAACUUCGGGAGAAGGCACGCUGACACGUAGGUGAAGUGAUUUACUCAUGGAGCUGAAGUCAGUCGAAGAUACCAGCUGGCUGCAACUGUUUAUUAAAAACACAGCACUGUGCAAACACGAAAGUGGACGUAUACGGUGUGACGCCUGCCCGGUGCCGGAAGGUUAAUUGAUGGGGUCAGCGCAAGCGAAGCUCCUGAUCGAAGCCCCGGUAAACGGCGGCCGUAACUAUAACGGUCCUAAGGUAGCGAAAUUCCUUGUCGGGUAAGUUCCGACCUGCACGAAUGGCGUAAUGAUGGCCAGGCUGUCUCCACCCGAGACUCAGUGAAAUUGAACUCGCUGUGAAGAUGCAGUGUACCCGCGGCAAGACGGAAAGACCCCGUGAACCUUUACUAUAGCUUGACACUGAACAUUGAGCCUUGAUGUGUAGGAUAGGUGGGAGGCUUUGAAGUGUGGACGCCAGUCUGCAUGGAGCCGACCUUGAAAUACCACCCUUUAAUGUUUGAUGUUCUAACGUGGACCCGUGAUCCGGGUUGCGGACAGUGUCUGGUGGGUAGUUUGACUGGGGCGGUCUCCUCCUAAAGAGUAACGGAGGAGCACGAAGGUUGGCUAAUCCUGGUCGGACAUCAGGAGGUUAGUGCAAUGGCAUAAGCCAGCUUGACUGCGAGCGUGACGGCGCGAGCAGGUGCGAAAGCAGGUCAUAGUGAUCCGGUGGUUCUGAAUGGAAGGGCCAUCGCUCAACGGAUAAAAGGUACUCCGGGGAUAACAGGCUGAUACCGCCCAAGAGUUCAUAUCGACGGCGGUGUUUGGCACCUCGAUGUCGGCUCAUCACAUCCUGGGGCUGAAGUAGGUCCCAAGGGUAUGGCUGUUCGCCAUUUAAAGUGGUACGCGAGCUGGGUUUAGAACGUCGUGAGACAGUUCGGUCCCUAUCUGCCGUGGGCGCUGGAGAACUGAGGGGGGCUGCUCCUAGUACGAGAGGACCGGAGUGGACGCAUCACUGGUGUUCGGGUUGUCAUGCCAAUGGCACUGCCCGGUAGCUAAAUGCGGAAGAGAUAAGUGCUGAAAGCAUCUAAGCACGAAACUUGCCCCGAGAUGAGUUCUCCCUGAGACUU
rnacentral:rRNA from 1 species